GGGGAGAUACCCGUAAUACAUUGAUUUUUAAUAUUAAUAAAAAGAGACCGAAAACGAUUCCUGUUUUCGGUCCAGGGAAAUGGCUCUUGGGAGAGAGCCGUGCGCUAAAAGUUGGCAUUAAUGCAGGCUUAGUUGCCUUGCUCUUUAAGAAUAGAUGACGACGCCAGGUUUUCCAGUUUGCGUACAAAAUGGUCAGUAAAAAGCGCGUCGGCCAUCGUCUUAAAUGUUAAAAACCGCCCGUUCUGGUGA
rnacentral:misc_RNA from 1 species